rnacentral:rRNA from 1 species
CCUACGGGUGGCAGCAGUAGGGAAUAUUGCUCAAUGGGGGAAACCCUGAAGCAGCAACGCCGCGUGGAGGAUGAAGGUUUUCGGAUUGUAAACUUCUUUUGUUAGAGAAGAUAAUGACGGUAUCUAACGAAUAAGCACCGGCUAACUCCGUGCCAGCAGCCGCGGUAAUACGGAGGGUGCAAGCGUUACUCGGAAUCACUGGGCGUAAAGAGCGCGUAGGCGGGAUAGCAAGUCAGAUGUGAAAUCCUAUGGCUUAACCAUAGAACUGCAUUUGAAACUGUGAUUCUAGAGUAUGGGAGAGGUAGGUAGAAUUCUUGGUGUAGGGGUGAAAUGCGUAGAGAUCAAGAGGAAUACUCAUGGCGAAGGCGGCCUGCUAGAACAUAACUGACGCUGAUGCGCGAAAGCGUGGGGAGCAAACAGGAUUAGAUACCCCUGUAGUC